rnacentral:rRNA from 1 species
AGUGAACGCUGGCGGUAGGCCUAACACAUGCAAGUCGAACGGCAGCACAGUAAGAUCUUGCUCUUACGGGUGGCGAGUGGCGGACGGGUGAGGAAUACAUCGGAAUCUACUUUUUCGUGGGGGAUAACGUAGGGAAACUUACGCUAAUACCGCAUACGACCUACGGGUGAAAGCAGGGGAUCUUCGGACCUUGCGCGAUUGAAUUAGCCGAUGUCGGAUUAGCUAGUUGGCGGGGUAAAGGCCCACCAAGGCGACGAUCCGUAGCUGGUCUGAGAGGAUGAUCAGCCACACUGGAACUGAGACACGGUCCAGACUCCUACGGGAGGCAGCAGUGGGGAAUAUUGGACAAUGGGCGCAAGCCUGAUCCAGCCAUGCCGCGUGGGUGAAGAAGGCCUUCGGGUUGUAAAGCCCUUUUGUUGGGAAAGAAAAGCAGCAGGUUAAUACCCCGCUGUUCUGACGGUACCCAAAGAAUAAGCACCGGCUAACUUCGUG